rnacentral:siRNA from 1 species
GUUAGUUGGGCCUGCUCUACUACC